rnacentral:rRNA from 1 species
AGAGUUUGAUCCUGGCUCAGAACGAACGCUGGCGGCGUGCCUAACACAUGCAAGUUGAACGGGGUAUAAGUUGUAGCAAUACAAAUUAUACUUAGUGGCGGACGGGUGAGUAACACGUAGGUAACCUACCCUUAAGCUGGGGACAACUCAGGGAAACUUGAGCUAAUACCCGAUAAGACUACGGGCUGGGAGGCUUGUAGUAAAAGGAGCAAUUCACUUAAGGAUGGGCCUGCGGCCUAUCAGGUAGUUGGCGGGGUAACGGCCCACCAAGCCAGAGACGGGUAGCCGGGCUGAGAGGUCGAACGGCCACACUGGAACUGAGACACGGUCCAGACUCCUACGGGAGGCAGCAGUGGGGAAUAUUGCACAAUGGGGGAAACCCUGAUGCAGCGACGCCGCGUGGAGGAUGAAGGUCUUCGGGUUGUAAACUCCUUUUCUUGGGAAAGAUAAUGACGGUACCCAAGGAAUAAGCCACGGCUAACUCUGUGCCAGCAGCCGCGGUAAGACAGAGGUGGCGAGCGUUGUUCGGAAUUACUGGGCUUAAAGGGCGAGUAGGCGGUGGAGCAAGUCUGAGGUGGAAUCUUAGGGCUUAACCCUAAAACUGCCUUAGAAACUGUUUUACUUGAGUCAGUGAGGGGAGGGCGGAAUUCCUGGUGUAGCGGUGAAAUGCGUA